rnacentral:rRNA from 1 species
UACGAAGGGGGGCUAGCGUUGUUCGGAAUUACUGGGCGUAAAGGGCGCGUAGGCGGUGUGUCAAGUCAGGCGUGAAAGCCCCCGGGCUCAACCUGGGAACCGCGCUUGAGACUGGCACGCUAGAGUUCGGGAGAGGAUGGUGGAAUUCCCAGUGUAGAGGUGAAAUUCGUAGAUAUUGGGAAGAACACCGAUGGCGAAGGCAGCCAUCUGGACCGACACUGACGCUGAGGCGCGAAAGCGUGGGGAGCAAACAGGAUUAGAA